rnacentral:hammerhead_ribozyme from 1 species
GCAUUACUGAAGAGUUCCAAAAAAGGACGAAACAGCUGUCCAGUGC